CUCAUCCCCUGUGAGGUGACAGAGGAAGCCAUGGAGGUCAGCAGAGAAGGCUCUGGAGAGCCAGGAAAGUCGUGGCCCCCACCCCAAGCUGAUGGCACCAAGAGAAACUUGCCCACCUACCACAGGACCCUCCUGGCAGCAUCUCCCAGGCUGACCUUUAGGACCCCAUGGCCAUCUUGGGCCACCUUUCUGAGCCACUGGGUCUGGAUGUGGGGACAUGUAGGGUCCUUCCCAGCCCCAGCUAAGAGAGGGGACCUUGGGGAGCUCGCAGAUGAGAGCAGAGCACGCCAGUCCUUGGACUGAGGAAGUUUUGAUGCCACUCUGUGAGUGGACACUGGGCAGAGGUUGGCAGGAAACCCCCCAAUAUAUCUGUGCCCAUUGUAACCCAGGGAAGGGGGCAGCCGGGCACUGCUGUCACAGCCACAGGUUGGCUUUGUGAGCAGAGCUUGGGGGAGGGAGUUGGGGACUGCCAGCACUGGAAAGACACGGGCUUUGACUUUUCAGCUCCUGCUAGGGCUGUGGAGCCAGCUGAAGACAGGGCCCAGGAGCUGGGAGAGCCAUCCCCUGCUCCGGCUCCUGCUGGGACUCUGGCCUGGCUGAAGACUCAGCCAUGGAACAGGGAGAGCCAUGCCCUGCUCCAGCUCCUGCCAGGGCCCAGGAGCAACCUGAAGUCACAGCCAGGGAAGAGGGAGAGCCAUCCCCUGCUCCAGAUUCUCCCUGUGCCUGGGAGACUGCUGAAGCCCCAGCCACGGUCCAGAAAGAGCCAUCCACUGAUCUGCCUCCUGCUGGGGCUGGCGAGCCAGCUGAAGCCACAGCUGGAGACCACGGACAGCCAUCCCCUGCUCCACAUCCUCCUGGAAUCCUGGAGCCUGCUCAGGCCCCAGCCCCGUCCUCGGGAGAGCUCACUCUCCAACGCCCAUCAUCCCCAGCUCCUGACCCAUCCCUUCCACCUUCUUCCUCACCACAACCUCCCUUCGUCUCCCACCUUAACCUGUAUAUCUGUGUAGCCGUUUAUAAUUUUCGUUUUCUUGUCUUGUUGUGGUGUUUGUGUCACCUUGAAAUAGAUUUAUGGAUUUAUAUUUUAAGAAAUCUGUGUUUUCUCCUUUUAAAUUGUACAAUUCCUGAGCAUUAAGUUCCCAGCUCCUAGAGACAGCCCCCAACAGCUCAGUCAUCUAGCAGUUGUCUAGAAGGAGCACCAUGAUUUCCUGUUGUCUUCCCAUGUGCCAGGGCCGCAGCCUCAGCAGAGCCCGCAAGGAGGGCCCAGGAUGCAGAUACGGGCUCCCGUCCCGCUCGAGACAUCUCAGGACAUUUAUGCGGAGGGACACAAAGAGGUCCACUCGGGACACGGAGUCCAGCUCCCCGAGGGAGGAGAAGCUGGGCAGGAACAGCAUAGCGGCAGGCAUGGGGAAAAGGCUGGUGUCCUCAGGGACUGUUGGACAAGGAUCAGAGCCAGCACAGGACCCAGCCCGUGUGCGGGGAGCACAAUCACAUCCAGCAGCUCCUGCACAAGGGCAGGAGACAAGCGGCACCCCAGGACGGGAGCAGGGAGAGCCAGCCCCUCCUCAGGCUCGGGCAGGAGCCAUGCAGCCGGCUCUCAUGGAACCAGCUGAGCAGGGAGGGCCAUCCCCUGCUCCGGCUCCUGCCAGUGCCCUGGGGCAGGCUGAAGCUGUCGCCAGGGAGCAGGGAGAGCCAUCCCCUGCUCCAGAUCCUCCUGGAGCCCUGGAGCCCUGGAGCCCGCUCAGGCCCCAGCAUUGUCCCCGGGAGAGCUCCCUCUCCAACCCCCGUCAUCCCCAGCUCCUGACCCAUCCCUUCCACCUUCUCCCUCACCACGACCUCCCUUCCUCUCGCCCCUUAACCUGUAUGUCUGUGUAGCCGUUUAUGUUUCUCGUUUUCUUUUCUUUUUUUGGUGUUUAUGUAAAUUGUAAAAUAAAUUUAUUUAUAUUUUAAGAA